rnacentral:rRNA from 1 species
UGAGGAAUAUUGGACAAUGGUGGGAACACUGAUCCAGCCAUGCCGCGUGCAGGAAGACUGCCCUAUGGGUUGUAAACUGCUUUUAAACGGGAAGAAACACCCCCACGUGUGGGGGCUUGACGGUACCGUAAGAAUAAGGAUCGGCUAACUCCGUGCCAGCAGCCGCGGUAAUACGGAGGAUCCGAGCGUUAUCCGGAAUCAUUGGGUUUAAAGGGUCCGUAGGCGGAUUUGUAAGUCAGUGGUGAAAUCCGGCAGCUUAACUGUCGAACUGCCAUUGAUACUGUGAAUCUUGAAUUACUAUGAAGUGGUUAGAAUAUGUAGUGUAGCGGUGAAAUGCUUAGAUAUUACAUGGAAUACCAAUUGCGAAGGCAGAUCACUAAUAGUAUAUUGACGCUGAGGGACGAAAGCGUGGGUAGCGAACAGG